GGGUUGGGCAAAGGAAAAGUCUCUGACAAUGGUUUUGGUGGGGGUGCUGGGCAUGGUGGCAAAGGUGGUGAUGGAUAUUACAAUGGCACUUAUGUAGAGGGUGGUGUGGCAUAUGGGGAUGCUGGAUUGCCUUGUGAACUAGGUAGUGGUAGCGGAAAUGGUACUCUAUCAGGGGCAAUUGCAGGUGGUGGUAUAAUAGUGAUGGGUUCUGUGGAGCAUGCACUGUCUAGUUUGUCUGUUUAUGGUUCACUUAGAGCUGAUGGAGAAAGCUUUGGAGAAAACAUCAAGAAAAAGAAUUCUAGGAUGAUUUCAGAUGUACGUCCUGGGGGUGGUUCUGGUGGAACCAUUCUUUUAUUUAUUCAUACAAUGGCACUCAGUAAUUCUUCUACCAUCUCAACUGUUGGAGGGCAUGGCAGUGCUGAUGGGGCUGGUGGUGGAGGUGGGGGAAGGGUUCACUUUCAU
rnacentral:misc_RNA from 1 species